rnacentral:rRNA from 1 species
UUCCAGACUCCUACGGGAGGCAGCAGUGGGGAAUAUUGCACAAUGGGCGCAAGCCUGAUGCAGCCAUGCCGCGUGUAUGAAGAAGGCCUUCGGGUUGUAAAGUACUUUCAGCGGGGAGGAAGGGAGUAAAGUUAAUACCUUUGCUCAUUGACGUUACCCGCAGAAGAAGCACCGGCUAACUCCGUGCCAGCAGCCGCGGUAAUACGGAGGGUGCAAGCGUUAAUCGGAAUUACUGGGCGUAAAGCGCACGCAGGCGGUCUGUCAAGUCGGAUGUGAAAUCCCCGGGCUCAACCUGGGAACUGCAUUCGAAACUGGCAGGCUGGUGUCUUGUAGAGGGGGGUAGAAUUCCAGGUGUAGCGGUGAAAUGCGUAGAUCUCUGGAGGAAUACCGGUGGCGAAGGCGGCCCCCUGGACAAAG